AGAAUCAACGCUGGCGGCGUGCCUAACACAUGCAAGUCGAACGAGAAAGUGGAGCAAUCCAUGAGUAAAGUGGCGACCGGGUGAGUAACACGUGACUAACCUACCCUAGAGUGGGGGAUAACCUCGGGAAACCGGGGCUAAUACCGCAUAACAUCGCAAGGGGAAGAUCCUUGCGAUCAAAGAAGCAAUUCGCUCAAGGAGGGGUCGCGGCUGAUUAGCUAGUUGGCGGGGUAAUGGCCCACCAAGGCGAUGAUCGGUAUCCGGCCUGAGAGGGCGCGACGGACGACGACUGGAACUGAAACACGGUCCAGACUCCUACGGAGGCAGCAGUGGGGAAUUUUGCGCAAUGGGGGAAACCCUGACGCAGCAACGCCGCGUGGAGGAUGAAAUAUCUUGGUAUGUAAACUCCUUUCGAUGGGGAAGAUUAUGACGGUACCGGAAGAAGAAGCACCGGCUAACUCUGUGCCAGCAGCCGC
rnacentral:rRNA from 1 species